UACGGAGGGGGCGAGUGUUGUUCGGAAUUACUGGGCGUAAAGGGCGCGCAGGCGGCCUGGCAAGUCGAGUGUGAAAGCCCCCGGCUCAACUGGGGAGGGUCACUCGAUACUGAUCGACUCGAAGGCAGGAGAGGGUAGUGGAAUUCCCGGUGUAGUGGUGAAAUGCGUAGAUAUCGGGAGGAACACCAGUGGCGAAGGCGACUACCUGGCCUGUUCUUGACGCUGAGGCGCGAAAGCUAGGGGAGCAAACGGG
rnacentral:rRNA from 1 species